GACGAACGCUGGCGGCGUGCUUAACACAUGCAAGUCGAACGGUGAAGCGCCUUCCUUUUUGGUGGGUGUGGAUGAGUGGCGAACGGGUGAGUAACACGUGAGUAACCUGCCCCCUUCUUCUGGAUAACCGCAUGAAAGUGUGGCUAAUACGGGAUAUUCUGGGUCUGUCGCAUGAUGGGUCUGGGAAAGAUAUUGUUUCGGUGGGGGAUGGGCUCGCGGCCUAUCAGCUUGUUGGUGGGGUGAUGGCCUACCAAGGCGGUGACGGGUAGCCGGCCUGAGAGGGUGGACGGUCACACUGGGACUGAGACACGGCCCAGACUCCUACGGGAGGCAGCAGUGGGGAAUAUUGCACACUGGGCGCAAGCCUGAUGCAGCGACGCCGCGUGAGGGAUGGAGGCCUUCGGGUUGUGAACCUCUUUCGCCAGUGAAGCAGGCCUGCCUCGUUUGUGGGUGGGUUGACGGUAGCUGGAUAAGAAGCGCCGGCUAACUACGUG
rnacentral:rRNA from 1 species